GCAGUUCAGUAUAUUUCUGUAGAAUAUUCGAUACACCUGCUACACCCAUCAGCGCUUGUAUAAAUGUAUAAUACUCGUAAGUCAGUAUAUUCGUAUAUUUUUACGUGUCCAUUCAUGACUGUUUAUUAUAUAUAUAUAUAUAUAUAUAUAUAUAUAUAUCCUUGCCACGUUAUGAUUGGAACUUUCCACGGCCAUCAGCCACCAUCCCGUUUUACCAUGACCGACUACGACUAUAUUGAAGUUAAGGAGAUGAUGGGUGACUACGGGAAUAGAGCCAAAUCCUGCUUGCUGUCAAUUAUUAUCGGAUUAUGGAAAUAUUGAAUUGAGAUAUCACAUUACCUGGCCAAGUUGAUUGGCGUCUAUUACUGCAGACUAUCAAUCUUCACUACGUAAAUAUCUUUGUAGUUAUCCUAAUUGUCAAUAAAUAAAUUAAAAUUUAGUGUGACGCUGUGAUACAUAAUUUCAACUAGCAUGAACAAUAUAUAUGUUGUAUAGUGUAUAUACAUAUAUGAAUUUAAAUAUACUGGAUGUGUAUUCUGAUCCUCACUCACAGAGAAAAUGUGUAUAGAAAAUGUUUAAUGUCAAUAUUUUCAAGCAUAAAGUAAUUGGUAAAUGUUCCAUAUAUUAUAUUUAUGUGUUGAAAUGAUGAUAUGUUACAGGAAAAGAAAACAUUUUAUAUCAUGACCAGAAAUAUUGACUAAUAUUUAUAGA